rnacentral:rRNA from 1 species
AAGCAGGGGAUCGCAAGACCUUGCGCUUUUGGAGUGGCCGAUGCCUGAUUAGCUAGUUGGUGGGGUAAUGGCCUACCAAGGCGACGAUCAGUAGUUGGUCUGAGAGGACGACCAGCCACACUGGGACUGAGACACGGCCCAGACUCCUACGGGAGGCAGCAGUGGGGAAUUUUGGACAAUGGGCGAAAGCCUGAUCCAGCAAUGCCGCGUGAGUGAAGAAGGCCUUCGGGUUGUAAAGCUCUUUCAGUCGAGAAGAAAAGGUUGUGACUAAUAAUCACAACUCAUGACGGUAUCGACAGAAGAAGCACCGGCUAACUACGUGCCAGCAGCCGCGGUAAUACGUAGGGUGCGAGCGUUAAUCGGAAUUACUGGGCGUAAAGGGUGCGCAGGCGGCUUUGUAAGUCAGAUGUGAAAUCCCCGGGCUUAACCUGGGAAUUGCGUUUGAAACUACAAAGCUUAG